rnacentral:lncRNA from 1 species
AUGAGAAGUAAUUUCACCAUUGUUUGGGGACAGGUGAACAGCACGUGGCAAGACACUAUAGAAGUUGCGUUUGUAGCUGCCAAUUGUCUGGUUUUGCUGGUCACUUUGCACGUUGGAUUUCUCGCAAACUUGUUCGUGGCGUGGGCCGUGCACCACCAGAAGUCUCUCCAGACGUCCAACAACGCUCUCCUGGUGAAUCUGGCCGUUAUUGACAUCUUGCGAUGCGCUAUUGAUUGUCCAUUGCUUCUCAGUGUUGUUUUGAGCGCUCGCGACACGCGAGACCUCGGCGUGCUGUUCUGCAGCGCGCAGAUCGCGUCGUUUUCUCUCAUCUGUUGCGUGCAGUUGCUCACGCUGGCGUGUAUCAGCGCCGAGCGAUAUCAAGCCAUUGCACAUCCGUUUAAAAAUGCCGAGCGCCGAAAACGGAUAGCGGUGUGGAUUGCGUUGACAUGGCUGCUUCCCAUCUCCAUAUCGGUCAUUUGCGUGAUUUUUGCGAAAGACUCGCCGGUGUACGUCAGAUGCAGAAGUUUGCGCAUGGAAACGUUAGACUCGUACGACACGUUUGGAGUUUACAUUCUGACCCCCAUCUGGUGCGUUUGUUUGACGGUCAUCAUUGGGUUCUACGGCCGUAUUUUCCUUUUAGUCAGAGCGCACGGUCGGAAAAUAUUCGACAAGGGUUCGCUUCCACCACCAAAUAAGAACAGAGAGGAUACAAAACCCCAAAAUGAAGAAAAGACUGAUAUUAAACAUGCUGCAGAAAACCAACAAACAUUAGACAAUGAUAAUUUAAAACCGAAUGAAAAAGAGUCAUGUGAAGAGAAUCCACUGGAUUUGCAUCCAGCAUCUGAGGAACUUACCACACCAUUUGGCACUGACUCCUUGGAUAUAAACAAACCAGAGCUUGCCACUGAAAUAUCCAGAGAAACCAAAGUCAUCUUUAUAGAUGAACAUUCUAACAAAGCACCACAGGUUCUAGAAGUUCUUGGGGAGCCAAACAACCACCAACCUACUUCUGAAGAAAGUUCUUCCCCAUUAACUAAUGAAGAAGAUUGUGCGAUGGAGUCAAGCACCCACCAAUCAACCAGUGAGGAGUGUGGCGUUGUGCCAAAUGUCCAGCAAGAAAGUUCUCAGUCAUCAGCAAAAGGAGAAGAUGGAGACCAACUAGAUUAUACUUUAGAAACUCUUCCUCCUCCAGCUUCUGAAGAAGAUGGUACUGUUGAGUCAAGCCCUUCACAAGAUACCACUGAAGAAACUUCUCCAACAUCAGGAGAAAAUGGAGAUAAAGGUGCUGAUAAGCAAUGUGUUCCUCAAGAAACUGCUGCAGAAACUUCUCCAGCAUCGACCGGAGAAGCCACAGCUGCUCCACAGGAGGAGGAGGAGAAGGAGGAGGUGGCGGGUGCCGUCUGUAUGAUGCCUUCUCUCGCCCAAAGAGAACGAGGAAACACCAAGAAGGAGAGCAAACUGGCCAAGCGCUCCGGAUACAUCAUCUUCACCUUCCUCAUAUUUUGGAUCCCGCUGAUAGCGACAGUGGUUUUAAAUCACUUCUUUUACCAAAACGACAAUCUAACAGUGGAGGUUUUCCGGGAGCUGGAGGUUUUAACAGUGUCUUUGGUCUGCAUGACAUCCCUCACCAACCCGAUCAUCUAUGCUGCGGUUAACCCUCAGUUCCGCACAGAGUUUCACAAUCUGAAGACAAAAUGGAAAGAUUUUUGUACACUUUCAUAG